CCUACGGGUGGCUGCAGUGGGGAAUCUUGCGCAAUGGGCGAAAGCCUGACGCAGCAACGCCGCGUGUGUGAUGAAGGUCUUCGGAUCGUAAAGCACUGUCGGCAGGAACGAUGGUUUGCAUGAGUAAUAUGCAUGCAGAUUGACGGUACCUGCAAAGGAAGCACCGGCUAACUCUGUGCCAGCAGCCGCGGUAAUACAGAGGGUGCAAGCGUUGUUCGGAAUCAUUGGGCGUAAAGCGCACGUAGGCGGCCUUGCAAGUCAGGUGUGAAAGCCUG
rnacentral:rRNA from 1 species